AACGAACGCUGGCGGCGUGGCUAAGACAUGCAAGUCGAACGGACCUGUUAAUUUAUUAGCAGGUCAGUGGCGAAAGGGUGAGUAAUGGAUAGGUAACGUGCCCUGUGCUCUGGGAUAGCCAUCCGAAAGGGUGGGUAAUACCGGAUGAUAUCACCGGCUGACGGGUUGGUGAUCAAAGAUUUAUCGGCGCAGGAGCGGCCUAUCUCCUAUCAGCUAGUUGGUGAGGUAACGGCCCACCAAGGCGAUGACGGGUAGCGGGACUGAGAGGUUGGCCCGCCACAUCGGAACUGAGAUACUGUCCGGACCCCCACGGGGGGCUGCAGUAACGGAUAUUGGGCAAUGGGCGAAAGCCUGACCCAGCGACGCCGCGUGCGGGAGGAAGCCCUUCGGGGUGUAAACCGCUGUCAGGGGUAUGAAAGUCCACUUCGGUGGAUUGAUCUAACCCAAAGGAAGUCACGGCUAACUCUGUG
rnacentral:rRNA from 1 species